CAGACGUUGACCUUCAGUGCAGAAUAACAUUAGAAGAAUUUAUGAGACAACACUAGGCUGUAUGAAAUCGCACUGAAAAGUGUUUAGUGAGCUAUUAAAGCAUCACAUCAUUACAAGAGACGCUUUAAACAUCUACUGACCUAAAGGUCUCGUGAGAAAUCCUUUCUUCCCGCUCAUAUCCGUGUGUUAGAGUGGAAGCAGGCGUAUGCCGGUCACCGUUCCCCUGAGGUCAGGCUACACAGAUGAAAGACUCUUCCUGGCUGUUCUGAGAACAGUGCAUCCUGGGAAAAGAGAAGAAGACAUGGGAUCUGAGGAACUUCCAGUUCCAUUCCUUCAUUCGGUUUCUUCUGCUUCCUGCUUCCUCUGCUGGAUGAUUUCUGCCUCACUGAAGACCUCCUGAACGCUCUUCCCAGCACUUUCUCCUUCAGCUGCUGGGAAACCUUUACAUUUUCUGCUCAGUGUGACGCAGCAGAUAGACCUUAACAACAGUCCUUGCUGAUUUUCCUGUCCGCAGCCUGUUUCAGGAUGUCUGA
ensembl:lncRNA